GUCCACGCCGUAAACGAUGAAUACUAAGUGUUGGGGUAACACUCAGUGCUGCAGUUAACGCAAUAAGUAUUCCGCCUGGGGAGUAUGCACGCAAGUGUGAAACUCAAAGGAAUUGACGGGGGCCCGCACAAGCGGUGGAGUAUGUGGUUUAAUUCGAAGCAACGCGAAGAACCUUACCAGGUCUUGACAUGGUGUCAAAGGCUCUAGAGAUAGAGAGAUAGUUAUGGCACACACAGGUGGUGCAUGGUUGUCGU
rnacentral:rRNA from 1 species